rnacentral:lncRNA from 1 species
AUUCAGAAAUUUUUGAAAUCCUUUUGUUAAUGCAAAGAAUUUUAUAUUAUUUUUUCUGGUGAAGGAAAUAACUGGAAAGUGGUCUAUUAACAUGAUUAAAAUCAAUUACAAAAUGUAUGAACACAUUUGCCUAAAUCCAUUAAAACGUCUUAACUUAUGGAUUCUUUAAUGUAUCUUUUAUGAAAGUGCAUAACCUCAUUGCCAAAACUUCAGGAAAUUUUGAUUUUAUAAUAUAUCAUGUAAAUGAAAGUUCAAACAGAAAUAUUAUAUCGUGUCACAUGACAGUAUUAAAUUGAUUGUGUGUACAUAAUGGUGUGAUUUAUAUACCUUAAAUAUGUAAAUGUCUGCAUGCAAUGUUUUUGUACUUUU